rnacentral:rRNA from 1 species
AUUGAACGCUGGCGGCAGGCCUAACACAUGCAAGUCGAACGAGUGGCGGACGGGUGAGUAAUGUCUGGGAACCUGCCUGAUGGAGGGGGAUAACUACUGGAAACGGUAGCUAAUACCGCAUACCAUCAGAUGCGCCCAGAUGGGAUUAGCUAGUGGGUGGGGUAACGGCUCACAAAGGCGACGCUCCCUAGCUGGUCUGAGAGGAUGACCAUCCACACUGGAACUGAGACACGUGACAGACUCCUACGGGAGGCAUCAGGGGGGAAUAUUGCACAAGGGGCGCAAGCCUGAUGCAGCCAUGCCGCGUGUAUGAAGAAGGCCUUCGGGUUGUAAAGUACUUGCAGCGGGGAGGCGUUACCCGCAGAAGAAGCACCGGCUAACUCCGUGCCAGCAGCCGCGGUAAUAC